CCUACAGGCGGCUGCAGUCGAGAAUCAUUCACAAUGGGGGAAACCCUGAUGGUGCGACGCCGCGUGGGGGAAUGAAGGUCUUCGGAUUGUAAACCCCUGUCAUGUGGGAGCAAAUUAAAAAGAUAGUACCACAAGAGGAAGAGACGGCUAACUCUGUGCCAGCAGCCUCGGUAAUACAGAGGUCUCAAGCGUUGUUAGGAAUCACUGGGCGUAAGGGGUGCGUAGGCUGUUUCGUAAGUCGUGUGUGAAAGGCGCGGGCUCAACCCGCGGACGGCACAUGUUACUGCGAGACUAGAGUAAUGGAGGGGGAACCGGAAUUCUCGGUGUAGCAGUGAAAUGCGUAGAUAUCGAGAGGAACACUCGUGGCGAAGGCGGGUUCCUGGACAUUAACUGACGCUGAGGCACGAAGGCCAGGGGAGCGAAAGGGAUUAGAUACCCGGGUAGUC
rnacentral:rRNA from 1 species